CGUCGGCCCACAAUGAGAUAAUUCUAAAAUUCUCCGUCCUAACAUUAAAUGUCACUAUGCAUCUUUUAUCUUCAUGAAUACCUAGAAAAUAGAUAAAUCCUUCCAUGCAAAGUCCUCUGCUCAGUAACAGUAAUGACGAACAAGGUUCACUUUUAAUCUCUCUCCAUGAUUCAUUUGAGCCGAGAGUUAAAACCCAAUGUUUUGUGAGUGAGUUCGGAUCUAGGGGAUGACUACUCAUCAAUAUUUUAUACUUCUUUCCAUCCAACUCAAAACCAAAUGAAUAGGAAUAACAGGUAAAUCUAUGAUCAAUGGAAUCGAGGCAAGGAAGAUAUCUUACUAUUCUUGUAGUCGGAUUAUAAAUAACAGGGGGAUGCUCCAUUGCACUCCAUAGGGUGUCUGCCAAAUCGCGCCGGGUACAUUAUGGAGUAUUAAUUGAGUUGAACAUAUAUAACUUGUUUAUCCAAAAAAAGGAAAAAUGUAUGUACUCAUUUUUCUCGGUAAUCAGGAAUUGAAAAUCCAGUUAUUUCAGUCUCUGUUUACGUUGGUGGAAAAAGUAAAAAGAAGCUAAGUCUCUAAUAUUACGAUUAGAGUUCCAUUUUGCUAAAAGAAAACAAGAGACGAUGAUGUCUUCCAUGAGAAUUAAUACCUUAAAAAACAGAAAAACUAUGCUCCAAGAUAAUCUAUUUCAGAAUUAACAAUAGAUACACGAUAAGAGCCUAUCUACAUGACUGUAGAUACCAAUAAUCCUAACAUUUUCUGCAAGGUCCGUGAUUUUUGUUUCUCUCUAACUCUUCUUCUUCAAAUCAUAAUAAACAAUCCAGCUUCCGUUGAACAUCGAGUUAGAGAUGAACACAAUCUCACCAUCAGGAGUACUACCAGAAAUGCAACCAAUGAAAUUCUUCAUCAAGCUAGAACAAAGUGUCUCAGAAAACGUGAUGGUGUGCUUCACCCAUUCUUCAUUUUCACAACUCUGUAAAAUCCUCAAAUAGAUCUCAUUCACAUUCCAUCUCGACUGACUGAUGACAGCUAAUUUUCCUUUAACUUGCAUCAAGUUACAAAAUAUUCCUCCAAGAACAUCUAUUACGUCGGCCCACAAUGAGAUAAUUCUAAAAUUCUCCGUCCUAACAUUAAAUGUCACUAUGCAUCUUUUAUCUUCAUGAAUACCUAGAAAAUAGAUAAAUCCUUCCAUGCAAAGUCCUCUGCUCAGUAACAGUAAUGACGAACAAGGUUCACUUUUAAUCUCUCUCCAUGAUUCAUUUGAGCCGAGAGUUAAAACCCAAUGUUUUGUGAGUGAGUUCGGAUCUAGGGGAUGACUACUCAUCAAUAUUUUAUACUUCUUUCCAUCCAACUCAAAACCAAAUGAAUAGGAA
rnacentral:lncRNA from 1 species